rnacentral:misc_RNA from 1 species
GGCCAAGGGCCGCGUCCGCCGCGGCGACCGCGUGUGGCAGCUCGCCUUCGGCUCCGGGUUCAAGUGCAACAGCGCCGUGUGGCGCGCCGUCCGCCGCGUGCGCCGCCCGGCGCGCAGCCCGUGGCUGGACUGCGUCGAGCAGUACCCGGCUCGCAUGAACGCUUAAGCUGCAGUGGUAAGUAUGCAGAGGCUAAUGAACGGAAAAUUAC